GAUGAAGAACGUAGCGAAAUGCGAUAAGCAAUGUGAAUUGCAGAAUUCAGUGAAUCAUCGAAUCUUUGAACGCACAUUGCGCCCGCCAGUAUUCUGGCGGGCAUGCCUGUCCGAGCGUCAUUUCAACCCUCGAACCCCUCCGGGGGGUCGGCGUUGGGGAUCGGCCCUUUACGGGGCCGGCCCCGAAAUACAGUGGCGGUCUCGCCGCAGCCUCUCCUGCGCAGUAGUUUGCACACUCGCAUCGGGAGCGCGGCGCGUCCACAGCCGUUAAACACCCCAAACUUCUGAAAUGUUGACCUCGGAUCAGGUAGGAAUACCCGCUGAACUUAAGCAUAUCAAUAAGCGGAGGA
rnacentral:misc_RNA from 1 species